rnacentral:misc_RNA from 1 species
UGGUUCUGGCAANGAUGAAGAACGCAGCGAAAUGCGAUAAGUAAUGUGAAUUGCAGAAUUCAGUGAAUCAUCGAAUCUUUGAACGCACAUUGCGCCCACUAGUAUUCUAGUGGGCAUGCCUGUUCGAGCGUCAUUACAACCCUCAAGCGCUAUAGUGCUUGGUGUUGGGGCAUCUGCUGCUUGUAGCAGGCCCUGAAAGAUAGUGGCGAGGUCGCUGUGACCCUGAGCGUAGUAGUUUACACCUCGCUUCUGUGGUUCGCAGCGGGUUCUCAGCCGUGAAACCCCAAAUUUUCACAAGGUUGACCUCGGAUCAGGUAGGAAUACCCGCUGA